GCUGGCGCCCAGGCGCCCUGCCAUUGGCCGAAGCGCCCUCACGUGCCCUAACGCUCUCCGCCGCGGCCCCGCCCCUGCGCGCGGCCCCGGGCCCCCCUCCCGCCCACGGAGAGCUCUGGCUCCCCGGGCCUCCUCAGCGGUCCCGGGGAGCGGCGGCGAGGGGCCGGCCGGGAGAGCCGAGCCCAGUCUCGGAAGGCGGCGCGGGGUUGCAAUGACGCUGUUGGCCGGCACCCGCGGCGGAGGUGCGGGACGGAGAGAGCAGGGGGCAAGUCAGGCGUGGAAAAGGCACGUCCGAAACGGACAGCAACAACUUGUGCAGCUGGCCGGACGUGGGCUCAGCGCGACCCGCAGCCUCCCGGCCUCGCCCCCUCGCCGGCGGCGGCGCUCGCCAGGGCCAAAGGCGCCCGCGCGCCGGCGCAGAGGACCGGCUGAGGAGGCCCGGGGCCGCGCGAGCGGCGGUUUCGCUGGGCCCCCCCUGGCCCCGCCCCCGGCCGGAGGCCCCGCCCCCCGAGGCCCCGCCCCGCGGGUCGCGCCGCAGCUGCGCCAAUGGGGUUUUAUUUCAUUCUUCAAUUUGGCUCGAUCGUAAGCCACGUGGGGAAACCUCUGCAUUGUGACCAGGGGGUCACGUGAUUUCUUUCGCCUCCCUAACAGCUGGGGGGAAAUGAGUUUUCCGAGGGAAGAAAGGUAACUUUUUGAUCCGCUACUUCCGCAGUCUGUCUGCUGGCGGAAGCCAUGGGAGACCAUUAAGGACGGGCGUGCAGACUGCAGAAACGCGUUAGGUGGUAGCCUGGAGGAGUGGACGGGUUUCACGUGCGACAAGCGUGGGUGCCUCAGCCGCGAUGACGGAGGGGCUGGGUCUUAAGCGGGCACUUGGAAAUCCUUGCCCUCUCUUGGGCACCCGGUUUUCGCUCCUGAAAGUUGUGAGGCCAAGCAUUUUCGGUUAUUCUGUUCUGCUCUGCGACGGGGAAGCUGAAGGAAGAAGAACAAAAAGAUCUAAAGUGAGGAUUGUCGUGGGAGGUCCUGAAAGUUCUGCCUGCAGGUGUCUGAAUGCACGCCUUCAGACGAGUGUCAGCAGGUGUGUCUGCCAGGGUCAUGGGAAGAGUGUGCCCAGGCCAGCCGCUGAUCCUUGGAGGAGGGUGCUUUUGGGAGCAGCGCCAUCCCUGCCAAUUCAGUGUACGUUAGCCAGCCCUAGGCAGCCAUGGAUGCGAGAGUGAUCUCCACCAAACCCAGCCUGGAUCAGCUGACCAUUCCGUAACCCACAGAUCUGUGAGAGGAAAGAGUGUUUAAGUCACUGCUUUUUUUGGUGUUUUUGUUAUACAGCACUUUGGCAAUAGUUAUAUGGUACAAGAUGGAGCCAAACCAUCAAAAUAAAGGCAAUAACUUAAAA